AACUUUUAACAACGGAUCUCUUGGCUCUCGCAUCGAUGAAGAACGCAGCGAAAUGCGAUAAGUAAUGUGAAUUGCAGAAUUCAGUGAAUCAUCGAAUCUUUGAACGCACCUUGCGCCCUUUGGUAUUCCGAAGGGCAUGCCUGUUUGAGUGUCAUGA
rnacentral:rRNA from 2 species